CGCGGGGAUGGAAAUUAUGUUCCGGGUGGCGAUUGGGCUCUUCCUCAUUGAUGGAUUUAACUGUCGGUUUGCAUAUUAUGGAAUCAGACAUCGUUGGAAAUGAAUAUGGAAAGAGUUCCAAAAAUCGUAAUGUUGAGCAAGAAGUAAUUUCUAACAGUCUUGUGUCAACGUGAAAGGGUGAAAAGAACUGUGUGAGUGACAAAUGCCAUGUCUAUCACUGAGACAGGAUGGUUGAUUUUCUAUCAGGAUCACCUUCGUGCGGAAUUACAGAGAAGCAUGAAAGAAGAAGAAAAUAUGCUUUGCUGUUUAAUCAGACAGAAUGGGGUUUAAGUUUGUCUGAUUUAAGGUUCUUAUUUAAGAACUGCCAAUAAAGUUA